rnacentral:rRNA from 1 species
CACGAACGCUGGCGGCAGGCUUAACACAUGCAAGUCGAGCGCCCCGCAGGGGGAGCGGCAGACGGGUGGGUAACGCGUGGGAAUCUACCCAUCUCUACGGAAUAACGCAUGGAAACGUGUGCUAAUACCGUAUACGUCCUUCGGGAGAAAGAUUUAUCGGAGAUGGAUGAGCCCGCGUUGGAUUAGCUAGUUGGUGGGGUAAAGGCCUACCAAGGCGACGAUCCAUAGCUGGUCUGAGAGGAUGAUCAGCCACACUGGGACUGAGACACGGCCCAGACUCCUACGGGAGGCAGCAGUGGGGAAUAUUGGACAAUGGGCGCAAGCCUGAUCCAGCCAUGCCGCGUGAGUGAUGAAGGCCCUAGGGUUGUAAAGCUCUUUCACCGGUGAAGAUAAUGACGGUAACCGGAGAAGAAGCCCCGGCUAACUUCGUGCCAGCCGCCGCCGUAACAC